rnacentral:tRNA from 1 species
CGGAUAGAAGCCCGCUGGUUUGGGUAUUUAGCUGUUAACUAAAAUUUUGCAGGAUCAAGGCCUGCCUGUCUA